rnacentral:misc_RNA from 1 species
CAGCAGUGUAUUAUAAGGAGUGUUCGUUUGAUGGUUUCAGCAAAAAGUCUGGGUAACAUGUCUUACUCAAAAGAAGGAUUUUAUUGCAAAGAUUUUUUUAUUUGGAUUUGGGAUCUGUUUCUUUUAGCCUAUGGUGAUUUGUAGAAGUACGGUUGGUGUUUGAUUGAGUCAGAUAUCAGGUGCUGAAGCAACUACAAGGCUUUUGGCAGCUUCAAUGGAUG